UACGAAGGGGGCGAGCGUUGUUCGGAUUUACUGGGCGUAAAGGGCGCGCAGGCGGCUCAUUUUGUCAGGCGUGAAAGCCCCCGGGCUUAACCUGGGAACUGCGUUUGAUACGGAUGGGCUAGAGUUCGGGAGAGGAGAGUGGAAUUCCCAGUGUAGAGGUGAAAUUCGUAGAUAUUAGGAAGAACACCAGUGGCGAAGGCGGCCACCUGGCUCGGUACUGACGCUCAGGUUCGAAAGCGUGGGGGAGCAAACAGG
rnacentral:rRNA from 1 species